AUGAAUUUCACAGUACACGCUUUCAAAAGCAGUCUCAGGUGGCCUGAUGAAACGGGAGAGCGCCUCCGCAAACACAUCCACUUUCUUUCUUUUCAAGGAGGGUGUGUGCGCGUAUGGGAAGCCCCCCAAAACGCCGUGCUCCUCGAAAUCAGAAAUGCACUUCUGUUGCGAGCUGGGUCCCCUCGGUCCUCCGCCUCCGCGUACUUAGUUCUCCAGUCGCUCCCCAGCCCCACCCAUCCGCCCCCUCCCUCUGCCGAGUGUGAUUGUUUUGUCUGGAAAAAAAAAAAAAAAUCCAAAGUAUAUAACAAGGGGAGAACAGUUAGUGCUGACUUUCAUUUGCAUACAUUUUCAUAUAUUUUGGUGAAAAUAAUAGACGAGUGGAGAGCCGGGCUUAGAGGAGUCAGAGGAAAGAGAAGACUGAGGAGGUACCGCUUCUGGGGAGUUGAGAAUAUGUCUUUUCCCCCCACCAGUCACCUUAUUUAUUUUUUUUUAAAUAAAACUUCUUCCUUUAUUUUAAAAUCUAAUCCUGGAAGUUUGCUCGAUGCCAUAUAGAGCUGCUCCCUGAAGAUCAUUUGUUUCCUUGAUGGGGAACAUUUCUGAGCAGAGCAUAUUGGUUGCCAUAGAGAGAGAAAGAAAAGGAAGAACACUGGCCACAUUAAGCUAUAUGUUUGUGCACUGGGCUUUAGAUAAAAGGACCGUGGCUCAGCCAAAGAGAAGAAGCCAAGCUAGAGAUUUCUAGCGCCACCAAAACUAGCUUUAUUUUGUUUUGGACUUUUACAGUUGAAACAUAUAAGCUAAUUUUAUUGGUUGUUGUUAAUUUUAUAUGACACGGUUUACUGAACAAAAUAAACUUUGGAAGUACUCGGGAGUCGAAGUGUUGACUUGUCAGCAGGGGGCGCACUGACUCGUCUUAGCAGGUACGCUGUAAAAUGUAGCUGUUUUCAAAAGCUUAACUUGCCAAAUGCACAAAUGGUCCCUACCUUUCUAUGCAUAUUCACAACCAGGAGCGAAUUCACUGCAUAACACAGGGCCUUAAAAUAGGGGGACAAUGACCUCCCCAUCUCCCACUCAGCCCCAUCUGUGAAAUGGCCUGAGAAAGGAAAACCGGCUUAAAACAGUAUUCCUCCAUGUCUUUCUGUGAAGAGGAUAUAAGUAUGGAAAACAGAGUUGGGCAGUGAAAGCAGAAACGCUUUGCAAAAUUCCUAGGGAUAUGCGGUAACCUACUCCAUAGGUUACCUUUCAGGUUGUAUUUUUGGGGAAACAGUCAAGAAGAGAAAGAUGUAUUCUAAAGGUAUUAUCUAUUAAAUGGUGAACAAUCUUCUACUUGAGGCAGGCUUUGACUUCUAAAUAAAACCCCAGCUCCUGGAGACUUAGUCCAGGCUUCCUGAAUCUCUUUUACUCCAUUCGAUAUAUAACGGCGCCUUUAAAUCUUGGCAUCUCCUCUGAUUGUGGCAAGAUUCUGAAUUUAUCCUUGAAAGGGCUUGUUAGGGAAAAGGAAAUACGAAAUAGCCGACGGUAAGAGGUCACUGUGAGCUUGGAACUUUUUAGCACAAUACAACUUAAUGCAGUUGCAGAAAAGUUUUCACAGAGCUCAGGGUUUCCGCCCUAGAGAUUUUUAGAUACAGCCAAGGAAGACUGAACUUUAUUGUGGUGAAGGAUGAAAAGAUUCGAGGAAAACUUCCUGAAAUAGUGAAGGGCAAAUGCUCCCCGGUUCUGAGGAAUUAGUCAGUUUGUCACUAACAGUUUUCCCAAGGAGAUUUGGAAAGCUUGACUCAGAAAGGGGAGCUGUGAGUGACUGGAAGUGAGAAGCUGGUUUCACGGUUCAGCAGCUCCCGGCACCUGUGUGUCACUGAGCCUGGAGAAGGGCCCCGGGCUGGGGCUCUGCAGGAGGGAAAGACACCUUAUUCUUUCGAACUUGACUCUAAGCCAGCCAGGAUCCAGCCAGAAGUUUUUCUUUGAAACUAACUUGCGAAAGUCAAGGUUUGGAUGUAAGUGGUAUUUCAUCUAGGAGGGUUGGAAAUUAUGUGAGUAACAUAUGCAAGGGAGCACUUUGAAAAAUAUUUUAAUUCCAGGAUUUUUA
rnacentral:lncRNA from 1 species